UACUAGAGUAGCACUCGCAUAUCAAUAAGCGGAGGAAAAGAAACUAACAAGGAUUCCCCUAGUAACGGCGAGUGAAGCGGGAAGAGCUCAAAUUUGAAAUCUUAAAGGGUUUCCCUUUACGAAUUGUAGUUUAAAGAAGUGUUUUCUGUUGAGGUUUUGGUAAAAGUUCUUUGGAAUAGGACAUCAUAGAGGGUGAGAAUCCCGUAUUUGACCUUUACUUUCAACUUUGUGAUACACUUUCAAAGAGUCGGAUUGUUUGGGAAUGCAGUCCGAAAUGGGUGGUAAAUUUCAUCUAAAGCUAAAUAUUGGCGAGAGACCGAUAGCGAACAAGUACCGUGAGGGAAAGAUGGAAAGAACUUUGAAAAGAGAGUUAAACAGUACGUGAAAUUGUCAAAAGGGAAGCGUUUGACACCAGUGUUGUUUUUCUGAAAAUCAAUUAAAGAACUGUUUAUGCUAAGCUGUUUAGACUUUAUCAGCUAUACUGUUUAGUUUUGAGCUUUUCUUUAAUGCACUUUUCAGUUAACAAGUCAACAUCAAUUUCUUUUGCUGUAAAAAAGCUUGAGGAAGGUGGCUUGAGAUUCGUCUUAAGUGUUUAUAGCCUCUUGCCUAUGCAGUCGGAGAGAUUGAGGUCUGCAGCGUAGAUCCUUCGGGGCUAAAUGCAUUUGUGCUAAGUUAUAGCAUUUUAUAGACAACUUGUUGACUAUGAUUUGUCUUGUAGCUUACUCGCUUAUGUUAUUUUACCUACGCUUAGGAUGUUGAGCGCAUGUCUCUCUCU
rnacentral:rRNA from 1 species